rnacentral:rRNA from 1 species
AGGGAAUAUUGGACAAUGGGUGAGAGCCUGAUCCAGCCAUGCCGCGUGCAGGAAGAAGGCCUUCUGGGUUGUAAACUGCUUUUGCCAGGGGAUAAAAUUCUCAUGCGUGCUUAAUUGAAGGUACCUGGUGAAUAAGCCACGGCUAACUACGUGCCAGCAGCCGCGGUAAUACGUAGGUGGCAAGCGUUGUCCGGAUUUAUUGGGUUUAAAGGGUGCGUAGGCGGUCCUAUAAGUCAGUGCUGAAAUAUCCCGGCUUAACCGGGAGGGUGGCAUUGAUACUGCAGGACUUGAGUAAAGUUGAGGUGGGCGGAAUUGACGGUGUAGCGGUGAAAUGCUUAGAUAUCGUCAAGAACACCGAUUGCGAAGGCAGCUCACUAAGCUUUAACUGACGCUGAGGCACGAAAGUGUGGGGAUCAAA